AGUGAACGCUGGCGGUAGGCCUAACACAUGCAAGUCGAACGGCAGCACAGGAGAGCUUGCUCUCUGGGUGGCGAGUGGCGGACGGGUGAGGAAUACAUCGGAAUCUGCCCAGUCGUGGGGGAUAACGUAGGGAAACUUACGCUAAUACCGCAUACGACCUUCGGGUGAAAGGGGGGGAUCGCAAGACCUCUCGCGAUUGGAUGAGCCGAUGUCGGAUUAGCUAGUUGGCGGGGUAAUGGCCCACCAAGGCGACGAUCCGUAGCUGGUCUGAGAGGAUGAUCGGCCACACUGGAACUGAGACACGGUCCAGACUCCUACGGGAGGCAGCAGUGGGGAAUAUUGGACAAUGGGCGCAAGCCUGAUCCAGCCAUACCGCGUGGGUGAAGAAGGCCUUCGGGUUGUAAAGCCCUUUUGUUGGGAAAGAAAUCUUUCAGGCUAAUACCCUGGGAGGAUGACGGUACCCAAAGAAUAAGCACCGGCUAACUUCGUG
rnacentral:rRNA from 1 species